AUUAAUAUUUAUGGUUAACAAGCAGUAUUCAUUAUUAAUUAAUUAAUUUAUUAAAUUAAAUUAUUAUUUAAUUAAUAUUUUGAUGUUAAUUUAGUAGAUAAUAUGCUAUUAUUUUAAAACUAUAAUUACUUUUAUUCUCACUUUUCUAAUCAAACUAUUCAAAUUUUCUUAUUUUUGAGAAUAACCUAAUUUUCAUUCAAACAUAAAAUUGAUCUUGUUCAAUCUUUUCCCAAAAAUUGUACCUAUAUCAGGAAUAAUCAAGAACAGUUUGUUCCCGAACCAAACUUUCUAAAUUAUUGCAAUUAAAUCUCAAAACUCAAUUUAGUUAGCUAAACAUUGAUAAAUUAUUAAUGUAAGAGUUUUGUGAAAGUAUUGUAAUUGAUAAUACGACAAUAUUCAAGAUGCUAUUUUACUUCUACGUUACUAAAUUGU
rnacentral:lncRNA from 1 species